rnacentral:rRNA from 1 species
ACAGCAGCAGCCGCGGUAAUACGUAGGUGGCAAGCGUUGUCCGGAAUUAUUGGGCGUAAAGGGCUCGCAGGCGGUUCCUUAAGUCUGAUGUGAAAGCCCCCGGCUCAACCGGGGAGGGUCAUUGGAAACUGGGAAACUUGAGUGCAGAAGAGGAGAGUGGAAUUCCACGUGUAGCGGUGAAAUGCGUAGAGAUGUGGAGGAACACCAGUGGCGAAGGCGACUCUCUGGUCUGUAACUGACGCUGAGGAGCGAAAGCGUGGGGAGCGAACAGGAUUAGAUACCCCAGUAGUCCCUGUCUCUUAUAC